UUGCUUUGGGAGUACACAUAUUAAAAUUAGAACAAUACAGAGAAGAUGAGUAUGGUCCCACUCAAGGAUGAUAUGCAAACUCAUGAAUCAUUAGAUAUUUUA
ensembl:snRNA U6 U6 spliceosomal RNA